GUCUCCUUCCACAGUGUGGAAGCUUUGUUCUUUCAGUCUUUGCAAUAAAUCUUGCUACUGCUCACUCUUUGGGUCCACACUGCUUUUAUGAGCUGUAACACUCACCGCGAAGAUCUGCAGCUUCUCUCCUGAAGCCAGUGAGACCACGAGCCCACCAGGAGGAACGAACAACUCCAGACGUGCUGCCUUAAGAGCUGUAACACUCACAGCGAAGGUCUGCAGCUUCACUCCUGAGGCAGCGAGACCAUGAACCCACCAGAAGGAAGAAACUCCGAACACAUUUGAGCAUCAGAAGGAACAAACUCCAGACACGCCACCUUAAGAGCUGUAACACUCACCGCCAGGGCCGCAGCUUCAUUCUUGAAGUCAGUGAGACCAAGAACCCACCAAUCCCGGACACACUGCUCUGUGCUCUUUUAGUUUUUCCAUUGAUAGGCAGCUUACCUUAACCAGCUCAGUUAGACCCUCUACCUUGUUGCAAGGACAGAGAGCUUUUUGUAUCUCAGGUUCUUGCUUUGGUGUACCGGAAGAAUCGGAUCACACCUGGGCUUGGAGAAUAAGUGCAAGUUUUUAUUGAGUGGAGGUUCCUGGAGAUGGAGCCCUAGCCAGGGACCAUGCCCUUCCCGUUUCCAUAUCAUUUAAAGGGACCAUGCCUUUCUCUACCCAGCACAGCGACCGAAUUUCUUAGCUCCUUAUGCUCCUGAGCUGUGUGGUAUCUGAUUUCCUCAUUUGCUGGCUGGAGGAUGAAAGCAGGGCCAAGUAAGAAGACCUGGAAGUGCCAAAAAUUGUUGGCCUUUCAAUGUAUCUUCAGAUGCAGUAAAGCGGGAAAAGAUCUCCUGAGGUUCUUUUUAUAUGGAUACUUACAUCUUUUAUAAGGGCUCUAUGAUCAUUACCUAAUCACAUCCCAAGGCUCUACUUCUUAAUACCCUCACAUUACAGGUGUAGGAUUUUUGACAUAUAAAUUUUGGGGAGACACACUUUGUCCACUGAAGGCCCCAGUCAGGUGAUUUAAAUUUGGAAGAUAUACUGAAUGAUCUGAUUUACUCAAUUGGAAGGGAGAUUAUCCUAGGUGGGCCUGAAUAAAUCAGGUGAAAAAUUUGUCAAAAACACCUUAGUCUCUCUUUGGAGAGAGACUACUUGUGGACAUCAACUAAAAUAUUAGAAGGUUAUUUAUUUUAAGUAAUAAAUAAUUAAAGGCAUCUAUAAACAACUGAUCUCCUGUCUUUAUUCUCACAGUAAUAGGGCAAGAAAUAUUUAUAGUUCAGUGUGUAAACUACAGCAGUUCUGGAGAACUCUGACCCUGUAUAAUUUUCUCUAUAGGCCGAGCAUGGUGGCUCACACCUGUAAUCCCGACAGUUUGGGAGGCCAAGAUGGGUGGAUC
rnacentral:lncRNA from 10 species